rnacentral:rRNA from 1 species
UGCAGUCGAGCGGUAACAGGGGAGCUUGCUCCUGCUGACGAGCGGCGGACGGGUGAGUAACGCGUGGGAAUCUGCCCAUUGGUGGGGGAUAGCCCGGAGAAAUUCGGAUUAAUACCGCAUAAUACCUGAGGGUUAAAACGGGGGAUCAUUAGACCUCGUGCCAAUGGAUGAGCCCGCGUCAGAUUAGCUAGUUGGUAAGGUAAAGGCUUACCAAGGCGACGAUCUGUAGCUGGCCUGAGAGGGUGGUCAGUCACACUGGAACUGAGACACGGUCCAGACUCCUACGGGAGGCAGCAGUGGGGAAUAUUGGGCAAUGGGCGCAAGCCUGACCCAGCCAUGCCGCGUGUGUGAAGAAGGCUUUCGGGUUGUAAAGCACUUUAAGUUGGGAGGAAGGCUGCUUAGUUAAUACCUAAGUAGAUUGACGUUACCAACAGAAUAAGCACCGGCUAAUUCCGUGCCAGCAGCCGCGGUAAUACGGAAGGUGCGAGCGUUAAUCGGAAUUACUGGGCGUAAAGCGCACGCAGGCGGUUUGUUAAGCUAGAUGUGAAAGCCCUGGGCUCAACCUGGGAAUUGCAUUUAGAACUGGCAGGCUAGAGUUUUGGAGAGGGGAGUGGAAUUCCAGGUGUAGCG